UUUGUUUAUGCAACAUAAAGUAAUAUAUAUCUUUGUUUAAUACAUGUCAAUAUAUAUUUCAUUUUUUAUGUUAUUUAAAUAACACAUUCAAAAACACUAAUAUUUAAAAACGCAAAAAUAAAAUCAAAGUUAAAAGCAUAAAAACAAAAACCCUGGCAAUAAC
rnacentral:misc_RNA from 1 species